GUAAAAAGUAGAAUAAUAGAUUUGAAAUAUUUAUUAUAUAGAUUUAAAGAGAUAAUCAUGGAGUAUAAUAAUUAAAUUUAAUAAAUUUAAUAUAACUAUUAAUAGAAUUAGGUUACUAAUAAAUUAAUAACAAUUAAUUUUAAAACCUAAAGGUAAACCUUUAUAUUAAUAAUGUUAUUUUUUAUUAUAUUUAUAAUAAGAAUAAUUAUUAAUAAUAAUAAACUAAGUGAACUGAAACAUCUAAGUAACUUAAGGAUAAGAAAUCAACAGAGAUAUUAUGAGUAUUGGUGAGAGAAAAUAAUAAAGGUCUAAUAAGUAUUAUGUGAAAAAAAUGUAAGAAAAUAGGAUAACAAAUUCUAAGACUAAAUACUAUUAAUAAGUAUAGUAAGUACCGUAAGGGAAAGUAUGAAAAUGAUUAUUUUAUAAGCAAUCAUGAAUAUAUUAUAUUAUAUUAAUGAUGUACCUUUUGUAUAAUGGGUCAGCAAGUAAUUAAUAUUAGUAAAACAAUAAGUUAUAAAUAAAUAGAAUAAUAUAUAUAUAUAAAAAAAUAUAUUAAAAUAUUUAAUUAAUAUUAAUUGACCCGAAAGCAAACGAUCUAACUAUGAUAAGAUGGAUAAACGAUCGAACAGGUUGAUGUUGCAAUAUCAUCUGAUUAAUUGUGGUUAGUAGUGAAAGACAAAUCUGGUUUGCAGAUAGCUGGUUUUCUAUGAAAUAUAUGUAAGUAUAGCCUUUAUAAAUAAUAAUUAUUAUAUAAUAUUAUAUUAAUAUUAUAUAAAGAAUGGUACAGCAAUUAAUAUAUAUUAGGGAACUAUUAAAGUUUUAUUAAUAAUAUUAAAUCUCGAAAUAUUUAAUUAUAUAUAAUAAAGAGUCAGAUUAUGUGCGAUAAGGUAAAUAAUCUAAAGGGAAACAGCCCAGAUUAAGAUAUAAAGUUCCUAAUAAAUAAUAAGUGAAAUAAAUAUUAAAAUAUUAUAAUAUAAUCAGUUAAUGGGUUUGACAAUAACCAUUUUUUAAUGAACAUGUAACAAUGCACUGAUUUAUAAUAAAUAAAAAAAAUAAUAUUUAAAAUCAAAUAUAUAUAUAUUUGUUAAUAGAUAAUAUACGGAUCUUAAUAAUAAGAAUUAUUUAAUUCCUAAUAUGGAAUAUUAUAUUUUUAUAAUAAAAAUAUAAAUACUGAAUAUCUAAAUAUUAUUAUUACUUUUUUUUUAAUAAUAAUAAUAUGGUAAUAGAACAUUUAAUGAUAAUAUAUAUUAGUUAUUAAUUAAUAUAUGUAUUAAUUAAAUAGAGAAUGCUGACAUGAGUAACGAAAAAAAGGUAUAAACCUUUUCACCUAAAACAUAAGGUUUAACUAUAAAAGUACGGCCCCUAAUUAAAUUAAUAAGAAUAUAAAUAUAUUUAAGAUGGGAUAAUCUAUAUUAAUAAAAAUUUAUCUUAAAAUAUAUAUAUUAUUAAUAAUUAUAUUAAUAAUAUAUAUAAUUAUAUUAUAUAUUUUUUUUAUAUAAUAUAAACUAAUAAAGAUCAGGAAAUAAUUAAUGUAUACCGUAAUGUAGACCGACUCAGGUAUGUAAGUAGAGAAUAUGAAGGUGAAUUAGAUAAUUAAAGGGAAGGAACUCGGCAAAGAUAGCUCAUAAGUUAGUCAAUAAAGAGUAAUAAGAACAAAGUUGUACAACUGUUUACUAAAAACACCGCACUUUGCAGAAACGAUAAGUUUAAGUAUAAGGUGUGAACUCUGCUCCAUGCUUAAUAUAUAAAUAAAAUUAUUUAACGAUAAUUUUAUUAAAUUUAGGUAAAUAGCAGCCUUAUUAUGAGGGUUAUAAUGUAGCGAAAUUCCUUGGCCUAUAAUUGAGGUCCCGCAUGAAUGACGUAAUGAUACAACAACUGUCUCCCCUUUAAGCUAAGUGAAAUUGAAAUCGUAGUGAAGAUGCUAUGUACCUUCAGCAAGACGGAAAGACCCUAUGCAGCUUUACUGUAAUUAGAUAGAUCGAAUUAUUGUUUAUUAUAUUCAGCAUAUUAAGUAAUCCUAUUAUUAGGUAAUCGUUUAGAUAUUAAUGAGAUACUUAUUAUAAUAUAAUGAUAAUUCUAAUCUUAUAAAUAAUUAUUAUUAUUAUUAUUAUUAAUAAUAAUAAUAUGCUUUCAAGCAUAGUGAUAAAACAUAUUUAUAUGAUAAUCACUUUACUUAAUAGAUAUAAUUCUUAAGUAAUAUAUAAUAUAUAUUAUAUAUAUAUUAUAUAUAAUAUAAGAGACAAUCUCUAAUUGGUAGUUUUGAUGGGGCGUCAUUAUCAGCAAAAGUAUCUGAAUAAGUCCAUAAAUAAAUAUAUAAAAUUAUUGAAUAAAAAAAUAAUAUAUAUUAUAUAUAUUAAUUAUAAAUUGAAAUAUGUUUAUAUAAAUUUAUAUUUAUUGAAUAUAUUUUAGUAAUAGAUAAAAAUAUGUACAGUAAAAUUGUAAGGAAAACAAUAAUAACUUUCUCCUCUCUCGGUGGGGGUUCACACCUAUUUUUAAUAGGUGUGAACCCCUCUUCGGGGUUCCGGUUCCCUUUCGGGUCCCGGAACUUAAAUAAAAAUGGAAAGAAUUAAAUUAAUAUAAUGGUAUAACUGUGCGAUAAUUGUAACACAAACGAGUGAAACAAGUACGUAAGUAUGGCAUAAUGAACAAAUAACACUGAUUGUAAAGGUUAUUGAUAACGAAUAAAAGUUACGCUAGGGAUAACAGGGUAAUAUAGCGAAAGAGUAGAUAUUGUAAGCUAUGUUUGCCACCUCGAUGUCGACUCAACAUUUCCUCUUGGUUGUAAAAGCUAAGAAGGGUUUGACUGUUCGUCAAUUAAAAUGUUACGUGAGUUGGGUUAAAUACGAUGUGAAUCAGUAUGGUUCCUAUCUGCUGAAGGAAAUAUUAUCAAAUUAAAUCUCAUUAUUAGUACGCAAGGACCAUAAUGAAUCAACCCAUGGUGUAUCUAUUGAUAAUAAUAUAAUAUAUUUAAUAAAAAUAAUACUUUAUUAAUAUAUUAUCUAUAUUAGUUUAUAUUUUAAUUAUAUAUUAUCAUAGUAGAUAAGCUAAGUUGAUAAUAAAUAAAUAUUGAAUACAUAUUAAAUAUGAAGUUGUUUUAAUAAGAUAAUUAAUCUGAUAAUUUUAUACUAAAAUUAAUAAUUAUAGGUUUUAUAUAUUAUUUAUAAAUAUAAUAUAAUAAUUAUUAUUAUUAAUAAAAAAAAUAUUAAUUAUAAUAUUAAUAAAAUACUAAUUUAUCAGUUAUCUAUAUAAUAUCUAAUCUAUUAUUCUAUAUACU
rnacentral:rRNA from 1 species